CCUACGGGAGGCAGCAGUGGGGAAUCUUGGGCAAUGGGCGCAAGCCUGACCCAGCAACGCCGCGUGAAGGAAGAAGGCUUUCGGGUUGUAAACUUCUUUUAUGAGGGACGAAGGAAGUGACGGUACCCCAUGAAUAAGUCACGGCUAACUACGUACAAGCAGCCGCGGUAAUACGUAGGUGGCGAGCGUUAUCCGGAUUUACUGGGCGUAAUGGGCGUGUAGGCGGGCUUGCAAGUCAGAUGUGAAAACUAUGGGCUCAACCCAUAGCCUGCAUUUGAAACUGUAGGUCUUGAGUGAUGGAGAGGCGGGUGGAAUUCCGUGUGUAGCGGUGAAAUGCGUAGAUAUACGGAGGAACACCAGUGGCGAAGGCGGCCUGCUGGACAUUAACUGACGCUGAGGCGCGAAAGCGUGGGGAGCAAACAGGAUUAGAUACCCGAGUAGUC
rnacentral:rRNA from 1 species